AUUGAUAAUUUUUUUUAUUUCUCCAUGUUCAACUGUAUCGCGACGCCACUACUCAGCCGAUUCCAUAUUUCGGUUAAGAUAACAGGAAUGGUUUGAAUGAUCGUAACUCUGAAUUAAUAGUUUAAAUAUAUUCUUUAUUUCCAACAACUUUCGAGACUUGAGUGUCUGCGUGUAGUUCUGCGAGAAAUGUAGGAGUGUUUACAGCGAAUAGUAGCACGCAUGUUCAGGUUUCGUCGAUUCGAUGAGUUAGUAGCAUCUUAAGGUCUUCUGAUCGAGAUGUCCGGUGAUACUGAGAUCUAUAAAGAAAACUAGUGCUGGAUGCUGUCCGCCCACCACCAAUGGUCGCUCGUGGAUAGAAGUCCUCCUCGAACAUCCCACAUGAGAAAACUCGCUUUUCCCAUGGUUUACCGCAAUGAACAAUAAUCCCAAGGAGCGUUUCGACUUGAACGAUGCAUUGUAUAAAGUAAGGGCCUCGAUAGUAAGCAAAAAUCUAAAUGUGAUGACGGCAAUUAACGGUAUCUUAAAAUUAUUGCGGGUUCGUACAAGUAUGUUUGAACAGCUGUUGACCAUCUUGAUCGCAGAAUGGAUUAUUGUAUUGUUAUACAAGUUCCAAAUAAUAAAAUAUCAGUGCUACGAAAUCGCAGCGAUGUCACAACACAUCUGUAUCAAUUCUCAGCAUAGGGAAAAUCUCGCUUGGUGGCACAUAUCACCAGAGGUUCGUUUAGGAUUUCGUUUCAAAAUUAUCCGCAUUCUAGCAGCCUUGUAUGGCGUUGCGAUUUAUCAAUCGUAAACUAUCCCAUGGCUGGCUGAGCCGCAAUUAACGAAUUCGUGCACGACAUCGCUAGAAGGGCGCAUCUCACGAGUCGUUUUCCGCUUUUACAUGGGCUAUAUUAUAAUCAACGGCAAAGUCGCAAUGAUGAAAUAGAAGAAACCGAACGCAUAUGAUAACUCAUCAUCAUGGUUGUGAUAAACGGAUUUAAGUGGAAUCCUAUUAAUUGAUAAGUAUCCAAUCGAAGGUAAGCUUAAUUACACCGAUGUAGAUGUACCGCAUGGGCUACGGCAGCAAUUGUGGGAAAACUUGAAAUUCUGGCAAAAGGAGAUCCAGCGCUGAGGAAUUAAAUGGCAUUAGCGCUAAACAUCUAAAAAAUAUUUUAUACAGGAUUGAAAGUUAUUCAGAAGGAAACGUGGCCUCCCGACAAAUAAUAACCGCCAUUAUAUACUGUCUGUAUAUUUUCAACAUUAUUAUAAAACGUUUCGAGUACAAGAAAAGUGUGAAGCAAGAUAAAUGACAAAGAUCCCUCUAUAACACGUAAGAGAAGAUGAGAUUCACCCUGUACGUAGGUGUGGUCCAAAUUCCGACAAAUCCAGAGCGUCGUCUCAGCUCGAGAUAUGACUAGGAAAAUCAGCAUAGCCAAACACUGACAUUCGAAAUUUGUGACGAAACUAGCGGAACAUGGAGAUCUUACAACGUACGAACGAUCGGUUCCGAGACGGGAUUCGUGUCAAGGUGGAGCGAGUCGAGACGCUUACUAACAUUUGGGUCCGCAUAGAAGGAUGGUCCAAUAUAACCGAAACACUCAAUUAGGAGAUGAUGGCGCAGCCCAAGGCAUACUGGCCGAAGGUGAAAAGUAUGAGACCAGGCAUGUUCGUCGCCGUACUAGCAAAUUUUCAAAGUGCUAGCUUUUGGGACAGAGCUGUUUUUUUGCAACAAACCGCGACGAGUUCCACCGUUUCUUUAAUCGACUAGGGGAUAGAAACCCACUAAAGCCUCAGUUUGAUUCGGUUGUUCCCACGGAAGUUGGCGAGGAUAGUACCAUGGGCUAGGAAGAUCCGUCUGCUAUGCGUGCGUGACCAUGUGGACCAAGCGCUGAGACACCGUGCUGGCUCAACUUACUAUGUCGAGACGGCAGGAUGCCUGGUGAACAUCGACCCUUCCCUUCGAUCGUCCACGACAAACUUGUCUACGUCAUUUGACUGCGAUGCAGAACUAUCCUAAAUUGACCAAGGAGUCACCGGAAACCUUAGUGAAUUUAAUCGACACUAUCAAACACCAUCUCUGCGCAUUGAAGAACUUAGGUGACUUUGUCACGUCAAACACCAUUAUACUCGAAUUAUUCCUGUCCUAAUUAAACCCAGACACCAUUCAACAACGGGAGCUCAACUUGGGAAAUCGAUAAGGGCCAACCAACUGAACACGUUUGAGAGACGGAUUGACGUUGUGAGGAGCACUCCUGAAACAACGUCCAACGCACCAGCGAAGGACGAUGACAUCGUCGCGGUCCCGUUUAACGAAAAGCCUCCUUCGCUUGGGUCGUCUAAAACAAUUGCGAUGAAACGACUCGCCUCUCUCCACCACCGAUUCCAAUCAGACAAGCAACUUGAAACCGAGUAUCGGGCGAUCAUUCAAGAACACUUGCAAUAGGGACAUAUGACCAGGAUCACAUCAGACGACUCCUCAGAUAACGGAUAUUACCUGCCACAUCAUGGCGAAAUCAAAGAAUUACCAGAAGAAGAGCCAAACUACAAAACUCCGGGUCACGUUUGACGGAUCUGCACCAAGCACCACCGGAGUAUCUUUAACCGACACCCUUCAUACAGGACCGAAGAUGCAGGAGCAUUUAUUCGACAGUCUUCUGAGAUACCGCUCUUACCAAAACCGUAUUUAUUUAUGAUGUUGAGAAGGUGUACCGACAGUUCCUCGUACGUUCAGAAGACCGGAAGUGUCAAUAAAUCUUGUUGCGCAACUCUAACUGGGAGGUAGGAACAUAUCUACUCAACGCAGUGACGUUCGGGUUGUCAGCUAUCAGGUGCUUCAAACAAUUGGCCGAUGACGAGGGAUACCGAUUAAAGCGAGCCUCGUCGGUUUUGCAGCGAGAUUUUUCCGUAGAUGGCGCCCUCAUCGGAGCUGCUACGAAGGACAAAGCACUGUCGCUCAGAGCGGUAAUUCACAGAAAUUAUCCAACUAGCCGUUUUGAAAAUAUGAAAAUGGGCGUCCAAAGACCAGGAAUUGCUACAAGGACUAUCCGAACAAGACACAAACCAGGAACUACAGUUGGGUGAAUCUCAAACAUUAAAAUCUCUUGGUAUUUUUUGGAAUUCUCCGACGAUUCAAUCCUCUAUUCGAUCGAUGCCAGAUUCAGUACCUCCCGAGUUAUCCACUGAGAUUGCUCACGCCUGUAAUCGUUCGAGCCAAGAUGCUCCUUCAACGAGUUUGGGUAUUAAGGGUUGAUUGGGACGAGUCCCUUCCAGCAGACUUACACGCUGAGUGUAACUGGUACCAUGCACAGCUGCCAUUAUUAAAUAAUAUAAGAUUGCCGCGUACGACCGUCAUCGAAUCCGUAACAUAGAUUGAGCUACACGGUUUCUGUGACGUCAGCGAGAAGACAUAUCGGGCCUGCGUCUACCACCGAACCACUAAUCCUGGCAACCAUGCCUGGACGCAACUCCUCACUACGCGAUGAAACGUGGCGCUGCUCAAAUCUCUGACCAUUCCACGACUCGAGUUAAGCGGAGCACUUCGUCUCACAACCUUAUUCUCUUCGAUACAGAAGACCCUAACGAUAAAGAACUCUCAGAUCUGAUUGGACUGAUUCCACAAUCAUCCUCCAAUGGAUCAAGUCCUCGCCUCAAACGUUAAAAAACCUUUGUUACCUACCGCGUGGUCGACAUACGAACGAAGAUCGACAUCGCCGAUCAUGUUGUCAUGUACCUACCACCGAUAACUUCACGGAAUUUAUCUCCCGAGGCAUGACUCCCAAUGAGUUCUCGCGCCCAUCCAUUUGGAAAAACGGGUUCGGAGUGGCUACAACAAAACGAAGAACAUUGGCCGACCAGGAGCCCAACAACGUUGGUCCAAGUCCCUGAACGGGAAAGGUCGAGCUGUCUGUCCUCGAAAUCCAUCGACCAUAGCCUACUUCAAAGGUAUUGGUCCAAGCUAAUGAGAAUCGUCGCUCCUUGUCUUCAGUGGAGACACAAACAAAUCCGAGCGGCACAUCUAAUCGUAGACGACUUAUCCUUCGCACACAUUCAACUAGUACAACUGCAGAUCAUUCAUUUUGAAAUACGGAUACAAUGGCGCUUUAAUCCCCCUCAUUCACCACACUUUGGCGGCUUAUGGGAAGCCGCGGUAAAGUCAUUUAAACGCCAUCUCACACGCGUCGUCGGCAAGGAGCUAUUAACUUUCGAACACCUCAACACCGUUAUCAUUGAGAUCGAAGCCAUUUUAAACUCCUGCCCACUGACUCCAAUAUCCUCAGAUCCAAAUGAUCUCCCUGUCCUCACUCCCGGCCAUUUUCUAAUUGGGCGACACACUAACGAGUGUACGGGGACGUAAUGUCAAGAUUUGUGGGCGACUCCACCAAGCCGGUUAUCCAGUUGGUAGAGCAUCAAUCAACUCAAACAUUAUUUCUGGAGCCGUUGGUACCGGGAAUACCUACCUGAGUUGAUCGGCCUUAACAAGUAGAGCAAGGGCAGUCAUGGCAUCCGCGAAGGCACCAUCGUAAUCCUCAGGGAAGAUAACGUACCAUCAAUGCAGUUCCAAUAACGUUCCAUCAUUAAGGAUGGAAUCAUCUGGACAGCUGUGCAAACGGCAACGAGCGUCUUGGAUCGAGGCGUCAGACGGCUCGUACCACUGCCAAGUCCAACCGAUCCCGCGGCUCCGGAUAACCAGCAACCGAGGAGGAAUGGCAUGGAAGCUUCGAUCAAUUCUACUCAUUGAUAAUUUUGAUCGGUGCCGUCUCAACGACGGGAGGAUGUUACGUCCCGUUGCCUUCUACACACCCAUCACUGGGUUUCCUCGGCGGUAUCAUCCUCACAGAAGUUAGUUGACUUUACGUUGUUAACUUCUUCGUGAUUGCUUCUUCGUAUUUCCACGAACGGUCGAACGCUGGUACUUUAUGCUACACUUGUAUGGGCCAAAGCCAUAGCAAUAAAGAGGAGAAAGAUAUUUUGAAGAGGGCGCAAAAGACGGCGCUAAUUCGAACACCUAUCACACACACAAUGUAUUUUCAACCAAUCGCGGGAGACGCAAUCG